UACAGAGGGUGCAAACGUUGUUCGGAAUCACUGGGCGUAAAGCGCGUGUAGGCGGCCGAUUGUGUCGAGUGUGAAAGCCCUCGGCUUAACCGAGGAAGUGCGCUCGAAACUGGUCGACUUGAGUACCGGAGAGGGGGGUGGAAUUCCCGGUGUAGAGGUGAAAUUCGUAGAUAUCGGGAGGAACACCAGUGGCGAAAGCGACCCCCUGGACGGAUACUGACGCUGAGACGCGAAAGCGUGGGGAGCAAACAGG
rnacentral:rRNA from 1 species